rnacentral:tRNA from 1 species
GCAGGGAUAAUCGAAUUGGCAUAGAUACUUGCCUUAGAAGCAAGGUUUUGAGGGCUGGUCGUUUCGCUUCGCUACACUGCUCGCCUAUGCGUCCUAGGUUCGACUCCCUCUCCCUGCA